ACAUGUUGAGGUGACGCUACAGACGGCACAGGUUGUCGUCCUGCAUUGUGGCAUUGAAGCAGCACCUCCUUGGUCAAAAGGUCUUACGUACCUUGAUAAUAACUAGGUAAGAUUAAUUUGUUGCACCUAUCCCUCCAAUUAAAUAGGAAAAAUGCAAUCCUGGUGGCUCUUUUCAAGCUUCGGCCCCAACCAAAAAUGCAUAAUGUCAUGACUUUGAUUGACCAAGUUAUAAAUUAGUUAAGCAUUGGUUUAACUAAGCAGCCUAGGUAGGUAAAAGCCGCUUCCUGAUAACAAUUUUAUUGCAGCAUGCAGCAAUGGGAGAUCUAAGGGUUGUGGGUUUAAAGGGAAGAGGGUCUUGUCUUUUGAAACGGGAGAGCGUCUCGGCAAUUUGACCUUUGAGUGAGCGGUUACGUUUGGGACCUAGUGGUGGCUGCUGGCACACAUGUAUUGAGGUCUAGCUGCAGCCGUUGAUGCUCCCAGCAAGGGAAUCUUGUCCAUCAGUCCAUCCAUCUAUGUGUUUGUCCGAAACGGUGUAGUUGGUACGGUGGCUAGAGCAAGUCGAACAUGAAUUGAACUGCCCGAACUCGUGCUACAAAUGCACUGGUGAGCUAAGAUACUUGUAGAAUAAGGUACCUGAAUGAUUGCCACUUGGUAAAAUUCUAAUGGUUCUGUCAUGGUGUCUCGUGGUAACCACAAGAACGAAGCUAAAGAAGAGUGAAAGAGCUCUCUUACUGUAUCAAGUUGUAUUAAUUGUUUAGUCGUGUUGUUUAGUGAGGCUAAAUGCCAGCUCUUAUGUAUUUUUUUAGUUUGGAGUUGUGUAUAUACGGAGGUCUUGUAAUCAAGUAGCUCGCAUUAGGUGUUAGCUAGCUUGGGACCGAGCUUAGUUAUACUCUGGCUUGA